rnacentral:lncRNA from 1 species
GGGGGGGCACAGCGUCCCCGUUGUGUCACCGUUGUGUCACCCGGCGGGCGAGCUGUCACCCGAACCCUGCCCAUUUGUCACCUCCAGGGUGCCCGUCUGUCACCUGAACUCAUCACUGUCACCAACAGCGUAAGAUGUCACCCCAGCUCUGUCCCUGUCACCUACAGGGCGCACAUUUGUCACCCGAACUCAUUGCUGUCACCUCCAGGGUGCACAUUUGUCACCCCAGCUCUGUCCCUGUCACCUCCAGGGUGCACAUUUGUCACCCCAACUCUGUCCCUGUCACCUACAGGGUGCCCAUUUGUCACCUGAACCCAUUGCUGUCACCAACAGCGUAAGAUGUCACCCCGACUCUGUCACCUCCAGGGCGCACAUUUGUCACCCGAACUCUGUCCCUGUCACCUACACGGUGUGCGCUUGUCACCCAUUUGUCACCUCCAGGGUGCCCAUUUGUCACCUGAACUCAUCGCUGUCACCUUCAGCAUGUCACCCCGACUCUGUCACCUCCAGGGUGCCCAUUUGUCACCUGAACUCAUCACUGUCACCUACAGCAUAAGAUGUCACCCCGACUCUGUCACCUCCAGGGCGCCCAUUUGUCACCCCAACUCUGUCCCUGUCACCUCCAGGGUGCCCAUUUGUCACCUGAACUCAUUGCUGUCACCUCCAGGGUGCACAUUUGUCACCUGAACUCAUCGCUGUCACCUACAGCGUAAGAUGUCACCCCGACUCUGUCACCUCCAGGGCGCCCAUUUGUCACCCGAACUCUGUCCCUGUCACCUCCAGGGUGCCCAUUUGUCACCUGAACUCAUUGCUGUCACCUCCAGGGUGCACAUUUGUCACCCGAACUCUGUCCCUGUCACCUACACGGUGUGCGCUUGUCACCCCAACUCUGUCCCUGUCACCUCCAGGCCAUGAAUUUGUCACCCAAACACCCGGGUGUCCCACACCGGGACCCCUCCACCCACCCCGACACUUCCUUUACCCUUUCAGGACCCUCCGAGGUCAACAUU